GAGCUGCAGGGCUGGUCGCCCGCGUUGCAAGGCGGAGAGAGAGAGAGAGGCAGAGGAAGGAGGAGAAGCCGCCUUGGCUUCGCCUCGCAGCCCUUCGACCCACCUCCGGGACUGGAAGUUCCUCCACAGGUCACGAGAGAUCACCCCUUGUGCCCAUCGCUUUGGGGUUGCAGGUCACAGAAUCCAUGGAAUGAUGCUCAGAUCCUUCUGGGGCGCCUAUGGAACCCCCUGCCACCAGGAGUGCCAACUUCAAUAAAAUAUGGGGGGGCCAGGCAAGCCCCGCCCCGCAAAAUCGAUCACAGGACAUGGCACAUGCACGGCAUUUGAAUGAUGGCAAUGCCCAUUAACUUUGGGGGGCAGCCCCCUCAAGUAUUUGGGGGGGCUGAAGGGACCUUGGUCCCUAGGAGUUCGCUCUGAUGCCUGCCAGACUUCCCCAGUCACCGAAGCAUUUCUGUUUCCCGCACCCCAAAAAGAGCCCCGUCAUAUUAGAACCCAAACCCUCUCCCAAUGGCACCAUGACAACAAGAUGCUGCUGGAAUGCAGGCCACAAACCUGAGCACAGGACUGGGCUGCUUUUUCCAGUAGCUGGAAAAGACACCACCGCCACUGAAAAUUUGUGGCAAAAUAUGCCCCCAAAGGCCCAACUUUCCUUCUGUGACAGGCCACCUGUGAUUGGGUCCCACAUCUUAGGAAGUGGGAUGCCUUCCGUCUGCCAUUUCUUUCCCCUGCCUUCAUUCCUAUGCUACCUUAACCUCCCAUCCUCUGCUGCUCUCCUAUGGGCAGCUUCACCUGUUGCCCCCUUACAGUCAGAGUAUGGUUUUUGCCCUGUCACUCCUCCCCCCCCCCCAAUAGUAAGACACAUUACUUCCCUCACCCACUGUAUCUCUUUGGUCCUCGUCCCAGACAUCUGCAGAUGUUUUCAUGAUUGACCUGUUGCAUGAAUGAUAGAUAUCACCUGGGCAACCUAAAACGAAUACUGUGAUUCUUCAAAACAGGGUCAGGGUCCAUCGGGAUCCAUUGCUUCAGGAACCGAGUGCCAAAUUCUGACCAGAUGCCCUACAGAAGCAGCAGCCCCCUACCCCACCACUGGAGGUGCCUCCAUGAAGCUCUCCCUCACCUGUUCCUGCCUGAGAAUGUGCCUUAAAGGGAUAGUGUGUAUAUAGCCUGAAUGCAUCACGUGAUCUCUCUCUCUCCCCCCCCCCCCGCCUUUUUUAAAACAGUAACAGAAGCAGGAAGGGGCACCAAUGGAAGCUUCUAUCUCAGGACUAAUACUAGGAAUGUUGGGAGGGGGUAGAUUUUUUUGGCAAAACUAUGGCAAAAAGGUUAUCAAACCUUGACACUACAUUCCCAGUGAGAUUCAGGUGUGUUUCAAGAAAAGCAGCAACAAAUGGAAUGUUUACUAUCACAUUCAGCUGGGCCCAGAGAUACAGUUUGCCAGUCCAGGAUUCAUAGAUAGAUAGAUAGAUAGAUAGAUAGAUAGAUAGAUAGAUGUCGUUACUGCAUACCGAUGAUGAAAGGCAGAUUUUACUGGAGGCUGCAGGGGUGGAGGGUGGGCUGAAGCAACAGAUUUAGGAUACCACUGAAUGCCAUCAAAAUAUCAAUUAUUUAGCAUAGUAUUAGAUUUUUUUACUACCAUUGGUGUGAGAGUGGGAGCAUGGGACUUUUUUUGCCUCAAACAUCAAAAUACAUUGGCCUAUCUCCUGAAAUAACUUCUAGGUGGGUUUUGAAUCCUGACACCUAUCUUUCCACAUUUCUUGUGACUAGGAUACAGUAGUUACCGUAAGUGUUCUCCAGACACUAAAAAUAUUCACUAAAGGCAGCCCUAAAUAACCAGAGUUUUCAGCUAUGCAUAUUUAGCAAUAUGUAAUUCAAUCCAGACAGUGCAGACGAGUGUGAACAAUUCAUUGGCUGUGGAAUAAAUCAAGACAGGAAGCCAGCCAGGUUUCACAACUAGGCUGCAGGGAUUUCUCUAGUUUCCUCUCACAAAUGAAGUUACAGGUCUCCAGCAUGUGGCAGAACGGUGGAGCCAACAGGCAAGGGGAACUUAGGGGUAAGUCUUGCUCAUUGUUUACUUCAUACUCCAUAAAUGUUAAUUAAAUUGGACACAAAACAAGUGCAGAUCUUUGGCACAGUGCUUGUUCAGUCUUGGUUCACUUGAAGUAAAAGUCUAUUCAGAAUUUUCCCAUGCUCAAUGCAAUUUUUUUUUAAUGCAUUAAUUGACAUGGUUUUACAAGGGUCUAGCAGAUUAGAUCAUGCAUUAGGCCACAUCCAUUGGCUUCCAGUUUGGUUUUGGGUUCAAUUCAAAGUGCUGAUUAUGUCCUUGAAAGUCUUAAACUGGGGUGAGGAACCUUUUCAGUCCAAGAACCACAUUCCUUCAUGGACAGCCUUCUAGGGGUUGUGGGAAUGGCAAGAGACAAAUGCAGAAGAGAGACCAGAAAGAUGAAAGUGAGGAGAGCAAUGGCUAUGACUCUUACCCUUUUAUAGUAGACUACAUUCCAGCUUUGCAAAACUAAGAAGUCUCCACACAUACACCUGUCCAUUCUUGAUCCAGGCAAGCAUCAAGGACUCAUUCCAGCCACAGUUUGGUGUUGACACUAAAUAAACAAAAUAUUUAAUGUGUUGCAGUUCCAACCAACUUUAACACUCUUUUUUCAGAUGUUCAGAGAGAACACUUGCUGAAACCAGACAAUGGGGGGGGAGCAAUAUCCCCGUGCAUGCAAAGUGCACUUGGAACCUUCCCUGUGAUCAGAAACGCUGUUCUUAUGCCACUGCAGCCCCCCACCAUACAUUUUAGGCCUUGCUAAACCCCCGCCCUUGCCUCACAAGAUGCCUUUCAGGGGCUUCAGUGCCCCUCUUUCAAAAGAAGGGUUUUGCUUACACAACAGUGGAUCGAAUCAUUAGCAGCAGGAACUGCUACUGCCAUCAUCUGUAAUGCUCAUGCCGUAUUUAAACUUUUUAUGGCCUGCACUUGCCGUUUCUGACUUCUUUUUUAUAAGAUAUUUAUUAAGAUUUUCAAAAUAUUGC